CAACUUUGAAUUUUCCGCCAUCUUGUUUUCCCGCAUGAAGACUUCACAGAAGAAAAGAGAAAGAAAUCGGCAUGCAGUGAUCUCAUAUAGUUAAAAGAAGCAACGUUUAAUGGUCAUCUGCUGAAUGUGGAAAUGUAAAGACUGUGGGGUCACCAAAUCACGACGAUCGGAACUUCUGAAGCAUUACAAACUCCAGGAGCGAUGGCCAGCGAUGUUUCAAGAAGCGGAGAUCAAUGCUGAAUUCCUAAGAAUUACAACGGUACCGCUACAACCACGAUUCUUGGCUGGUUUGGAUAAGCAGAGCAGUCAGCUUCUUCAGGUCAUGAGGAAAAAAGGUGGAGCUGUCGGUCAGAAAAUCAGGGACACCCUUAAACCUUUGGAUCAGGGUGUGGACUUGAACAGAGUGCCUCCUGAAGUCGCUCGUGAUUUACCUGGGUGAAGAUGUGAGCCACCUGAUCAAAGAGUACCUGGUUGUCCAACAGGAAGAGGCGGAGGAA